GUGCUCACUUCGGCAGCAUAUAUACUAAAAUUGGAAUGUUACAGAGAAGAUUAGCAUGGCCCCUGUGCAAGAUGACAUGCAAAUUCGUAAAGUGUUCCAUUAAAAA
rnacentral:snRNA from 1 species